rnacentral:rRNA from 1 species
CCUACGGGAGGCUGCAGUGGGGAAUAUUGGGCAAUGGGCGCAAGCCUGACCCAGCAACGCCGCGUGAAGGAAGAAGGCUUUCGGGUUGUAAACUUCUUUUAAGAGGGAAGAGCGGAAGACGGUACCUCUUGAAUAAGCACCGGCUAACUACGUGCCAGCAGCCGCGGUAAUACGUAGGUGGCAAGCGUUGUCCGGAUUUACUGGGGGUAAAGGGCGUGCAGCCGGGAAGACAAGUCAGAUGUGAAAUCCCGCGGCUCAACCGCGGAACUGCAUUUGAAACUGUUUUUCUUGAGUACCGGAGAGGUCAUCGGAAUUCCUUGUGUAGCGGUGAAAUGCGUAGAUAUAAGGAAGAACACCAGUGGCGAAGGCGGAUGACUGGACGGCAACUGACGGUGAGGCGCGAAAGCGUGGGGAGCAAACAGGAUUAGAUACCCGUGUAGUC